GCAUCUCUUUCCCUGCAAACGACGUCUAUUCCAAAGCAAUUCAAAGUUCUGCAAUCACUCUCCUUUUUAUGAGCUUUCUUUUUCAUCUUCUCCUUAAUGAAUGUAUGUUGCAUGGACAAAAUUCUAUGUUGAAUCCUCUCUUCUUCAUCAUCUUUUAUGCACAAGAGUGCAGAUCCAUCUCAAUAUUUCAGUGGAAGCAUUAUGUUGAAUCACAAAAGCGGUGAAGCAACUUCUACUAUCAUAUCGUCAUUGGCUAAGAGAUGUAUUCUAGCUAUAUGAUACAUGGGUUACCAACGAGGCAACGAUUAGUGAUUUCACAAAGGCGCAAGCACUUGUAGUGUGUUGUCAUUGUAUAUCACAUACAUGGUGUGUUCCUCAAACAUAAAAGGUAAUAUGGAGAUAGGCAACUCUCAUUUGCUUGGAGUGCAACUUGAACCAAUUUGUUCUGCCUCUGGGAGUAGAAAAAUAGGAGUAUUACAUGGUGUCCGCUUUGUGACUUCACAGACACUCAUCAACUUUUACUUUUGGAAAUUGGUUAAGAGAGUUACGUGGAAAUGAGUAUAAAAUUAGCUGACGUGACUAACCAAGACAUGUCUGAAUGGUUCGGAAAGCAUUUCAAGUAAGUUGCACUCAUUGUGAUUAUCUUCGGUGCUGCUUUAGAUAGGUUCUAAAUGUAUAAUUAAGUUAUUGCACUGUGUCGUUGGUGUUGGUAAUUUAACACAUUUAUUUUAAUACAUUUUCACAUUUUUCAUAGAUUCUUACACUGUUUCGUGUGUGCAAAAUUAAUUUGACUACAAAAAAUAGUUAUUUGACCAUGAUGAUUAUUGAUACAUGCUUUACACUUUACAGAACUUCUGCGCUAGCAUAAGGGAAAAAAAGUUGGAUGGCGUAGUAAUUUAAGUAACAUAAAGAAUGGAAAUAUAGAAAAUUAUUGACCUUGAUCAAAUGUUGAUGAUAAAUGAUUAUCUCAGAAGUUAUACUCACGGUUUCUACCCAAUGCAAGGAAUAAGUGGAAAGAGUUUUCAAGUAAUCGUAGAUAAAUUAAAAAUCCGAUGGAAAGCAUAUAUUUAUUUUUGUUUCGUGUAUGAACAAAUUGUUUUGUCAUACGUGGAUGCUGAACUGGCAUUCGUAAAUUGACUUGAUCUUUUUUUUUCGUAGAUUUUACUUGCAUCAUUCUAUGCAUAUGAAUGAGUUGCAUUGUGCUUGGCUAAUAACUAAAUCAAGAGUGAGGUUUGCUUAUGGAUGGUAUAAAUAUUGCAAACUUGAACUUUCUUUUGAACUAUGGAUACGAUAUGUUGUAAUAAGUCAAUUGUAACUCUCUUAGACCUCUUUCCCUGAAAAAUUCUGUGUUUCAUUCAAUUAGAGUUUUCACUACAAGAAUGACCGAUGUAAACAGGCACAAGAAUUGUUUAUCUAUUGGGGAAGGGGUGUAUGAACACUACAAAGAGAAGUUGUACAAGAUAUUAUGUGGAUUAUACUAUAAAUGGUGGACUAUUUCAUUUGUGAUUAAAUUUCUUUAUCGUUCUCCUAUUAGGCAAUAAUCAUGUGUAUUGCUUCUAAAAACACAAGCCAUUUCAAAUUUUGCUAAACUUCCAUAUCUAUGACGAUCUCUGUUGGGUACAUUGAGAUUGUGGAUUUAUGAUUUGGCUAAUUUCUUCUUUGUUCAAGAGUCACUACUUUGUUACUCUGUACCUAAUGACAUAAAAGUUACUUGCCUGUGAUAUUAUUGGGAUCAGUUGUUUGUACUUUUUCAUUUGAGUUAGCAGGUUUCAACAUAUGUUGACACUAAAACAAGUUCUGCCUCUCAAGUGUGGUUGCACUUCUAUGUAUAUGUGAGCAUCCUCUCAUUUUUAAUCUAAAUUAGAUGUUACUGAUCCAUACGUGAGUAGUUCUAGAAUAUGUAGUGCAUUUGUUCCAAGUAAUUUUUCUAUUUCCUUUUUUUUAUACUUUUUGAAUAGCAGACAAUUCUUUUUACCCAAAAAUGAGCAGGGCCUCUCUUCAAUUUGAGAGUCUUACUUGCACUAACAUUUUGUUAGUAUUUCUACUUUAUGAUUAAUUUGGUUGUUGUCUAUAAUGGUAAUCUUUACAUACUACAUUCAUUUACUCCUAUUCUUAGAAAUAGUCAGAUGAAUUCUCAAAAAAGAAAAAAGUCACAGAUGAAGUAUAAGCUUGACAGGUUCAAUUGUAGAUGAAUUAUAAAGCAUGUAGAAAGCUUUAUAUUUGUUUUAGCUUCGUGUAUGAACAUUAUCUUUGUUGUGAUAUGUGGAUGUUGAACUGAAUGUGUUGGGAAGUUUUCUAUUUCAAGACAUAUCAAGUAUUGUCAUGCUGCAUAACUAUCUUGUGGUGUGGCUUUGAAUCUACUGAAAUAAUUUUUGCUUUCUCAGAUCAAAUCUGAAAUAAAUUAUCCUCAGAUAAUUUGGCUUGUUUUUUCUUUAUUUCUGGAUCAACAACUUGAAUAUAAUUAGAAUGAGAUAACUUUUUAAUAUAAUUUUUAUACUUAAAAAAAAAACUCAUGUGGCAGUGUGUGCUCAUAUUGUGGUAAUAUUGUGUUUUUUCGCUUGUACAUUUUGAUGUCGUUUGUAAAUUGACUUUACCUCCUUUU